rnacentral:misc_RNA from 1 species
AAAAAAAAUAAAAAUAAUUAAAAAGUUACACUAAUAACAAAAAAAAAAAAUCUAAAUUUCCUCUUUAACUUGACAAUUGAAUAAUUAACCCAAGCCCCCGCCCAGGCAGGACGCUGCAGCAUCACUAUAUAUACACUUAGCUGGCUGCGCCCGCCCCAUUCUCCUUGAGCGCUCUGUCCAACACCAUUCAAAGCACUCAACGAUGAAGAAGACUUCUGUGCUUCUCGGCCUUACUUUCACCUUUCUCUUUUGUGGUAAUCUAUGGAUGUAUAGUUUUUAUAUAGAAGUCUAAUUUUCAUCCUGAAGCCAUUGGUUUAUAUAUUAACUACUGUCGAUUAAUCAUGCAGGAGUUCACCCGGCGACGAUAACUUUCACAAACAAUUGUCCAUACACAGUCUGGCCAGCAACCUUAACCGGUGACAACAGGCCUCAGCUCUCAAGCACCGGCUUCCAAUUAGCAACCAAAGAAACUCAAUCCCUCAACAUUCCAGCCCCAUUCACUGGAAGGUUUUGGGGCCGAACACACUGUUCCAACGAAUCCUCCUCCGGCAGGUUCACUUGUGCAACUGGUGAUUGUGGUUCAGGACAAGUAUCUUGCAACGGUGCUGGUGGAAAUCCACCUAUUAGCCUCAUAGAAUUCACUUUAGCAGAAAACAAUGGAAAAGAUUUCUACGACAUUAGCCUCGUUGAUGGGUUUAACGUGCCAGUAUCAGUGUCUCCACAAGGCGGGUCUGGUAAUAAGUGCACUACUGCGAGCUGUCCAGGAAAUGUAAACUCAGUCUGCCCUACACAAUUAGCAGUUAAAGGGUCUGAUGGAAGCAUAAUUGCUUGCAAGAGUGCAUGCGAGGAAUUCCACCAGCCAGAAUAUUGCUGCACAGGGAACUUCAAUACCCCAGAAACUUGCAAACCCACAAAUUAUUCAAUGAUCUUCAAGAACCAGUGCCCUCAGGCUUAUAGCUACGCUUAUGAUGAUUCAAGUAGCACCUUUUCUUGCAGCGGUGGAGCUAACUACGCUAUCACUUUCUGUCCAUGAUGAAGACUUUAGGUUGAAAAUUAAGUAGUGGAUUAAAUAAAACAAAAGUCUGGACAGACUUGACAGAAAUUAAUACUAUUAUCGGUAAUUAAGGGUGUAUGAAUAAGCACCAAUUUUUGGUGAAUUAUUAAUAUAUACUUUUUCCUUGAUGAAUUAUACAAUAAUAUUAAAUAUUUGAUAUCAAAAAA